rnacentral:rRNA from 1 species
GUAGGUGGCAAGCGUUGUCCGGAAUUAUUGGGCGUAAAGCGCGCGCAGGCGGUCCUUUAAGUCUGAUGUGAAAGCCCACGGCUCAACCGUGGAGGGUCAUUGGAAACUGGGGGACUUGAGUACAGAAGAGGAAAGCGGAAUUCCAAGUGUAGCAGUGAAAUGCGUAGAGAUUUGGAGGAACACCAGUGGCGAAGGCGGCUUUCUGGUCUGUAACUGACGCUGAGGCGCGAAAGCGUGGGGAGCAAACAGGGAUUAGAUACCCUGGUAGUCCACGCCGUAAACGAUGAGUGCUAAGUGUUAGGGGGUUUCCCGCCCCUUAGUGCUGCAGCUAACGCAUUAAGCACUCCGCCUGGGGAGUACGCCGCAAGGCUG